UACAUUGGUAGAAUAAUUAAGUAUGAAUAUUGACAAGAUUUAAUGUUCCAAUAUUUUAAACAAAAGCUCCAGAUUUUGAAGUAUGCCCCGGAUUACGGUGUAAGAAGACAUUCACGACGUUCAUUUCUAUUAAACAUGGCCUAAUUCCAUGACAAAAUUCCAUGAUGUGUCAGUUUAUUAAAUCAUUUAUCCAAGAUAUAUAUGCGAUGUGAUGUACAAUGGCGCAAUGAAAAUGUAAUACUCAUAAUUAAGAUAAACGAUAUCGAAAUUAAUACGUAUAAACGCCGAAGAAAACCAUGGACAGGAAGGAAAUAAUGGAACGUCUCGGGAAAUUACUUCCGUUGUCCAAUUCGGGCACUGUCGAUCUGGUCUGGUCUAUAGCGAUCAUUAUUCUUGCGAUCAUAAUAUUCUUCACUUUGAGAAAAAGUUAGCGAAAAGAUUUCGCAUGCGGCAUUGUUCAGAAAAAAUUAUCAGAUUCAUCUUUUGCCCGGAAAAUGGAGCUUUGCUGUUCCUCCUUGUGUACAGCGGACUGAUUGGAACGCUAAUUGCUCGAAUAAUCGCCCAUGUAGCACGUCAAUCUCAAUUCAGGGGCGAGGAUUUUCGAAUGACGAUGCUUACCAGAUGACACGAUGACGCAGCUGCACGAAGAGAAGGACGAUCAGCGGCAGCCCGCGCGGCAGCAUCCUACCAAUCGUCUUCGUUAUCCGACCGGGAUUGCGUCAGUGAACGACGAGCGCGAUGGAGAACGUCAUCUCGCGGUAUUUUCGCAUCCCUUCGGCAUCCCUGUAACCGGCUCGAUGCCGCCAGCGUUGCUGUUCUGCAAUCACAGACGAAGGGAAGAGCGCCCAUCGACCCUUCCUGCCUGCUUGUCGCUACCCUUGACCCCGUAUACAUGCCACACGCAAUGUAUUCUACUCAAACACGCACUCACGGAGUUAUCCAAUACGCGGGACAAGUCCCACGGUAACAUUUCCCGCUUCUGCAAUAAGUCUAUUUGGAGGGGUAAAAAUUAAUUCAUCGAAUAAAGAUCCGGAAAAAGAUCCAU
rnacentral:lncRNA from 13 species